rnacentral:rRNA from 1 species
UACAGAGGUCCCAAGCGUUGUUCGGAUUCAUUGGGCGUAAAGGGUGCGUAGGCGGUGGGGUAAGUUGGAUGUGAAAUCUUGGGGCUUAACCUCAAAAUUGCAUUCAAUACUGCUCCGCUCGAGUUCUGUAGAGGAGAUUGGAAUUUACGGUGUAGCAGUGAAAUGCGUAGAUAUCGUAAGGAACGCCAGUGGCGAAAGCGACUUCCUGGACCAAUACUGACGCUCAUGUGCGAAAGCGUGGGGAGCAAACAGG